rnacentral:rRNA from 1 species
GAUAAACGCUGGCGGCGUGCAUGAGACAUGCAAGUCGAACGGACGAUCGAGGCUUGCUUCGAUCGUUAGUGGCGGACGGCUGAGUAACGCGUAGGUGACCUGCCCCGAAGUGGGGAAUAACUGCCCGAAACGGGUGGCUAAUACCGCAUGUGGUGGUGUGUUCAAUCACACCAGUAAAGCCGCAAGGCGCUUCGGGAGGGGCCUGCGUCCGAUUAGCUCGUUGGUGGGGUAACGGCNCACCAAGGCGACGAUCGGUAGGUGGUCUGAGAGGACGAUCACCCAGACUGGGACUGAGACACGGCCCAGACUCCUACGGGAGGCAGCAGUCGGGAAUUUUGCGCAAUGGACGAAAGUCUGACGCAGCAACGCCGCGUGAGGGAUGACGGCCUCGGUUGUAAC